CCUACGGGAGGCAGCAGUGGGGAAUAUUGCACAAUGGGCGAAAGCCUGAUGCAGCGACGCCGCGUGAGGGAUGACGGCCUUCGGGUUGUAAACCUCUUUCAGCGGGGAAGAAGCGAAAGUGACGGUACCUGCAGAAGAAGCGCCGGCUAACUACGUGCCAGCAGCCGCGGUAAUACGUAGGGCGCAAGCGUUGUCCGGAAUUAUUGGGCGUAAAGAGCUCGUAGGCGGCUUGUCACGUCGGGUGUGAAAGCCCGGGGCUUAACCCCGGGUCUGCAUUCGAUACGGGCUAGCUAGAGUGUGGUAGGGGAGAUCGGAAUUCCUGGUGUAGCGGUGAAAUGCGCAGAUAUCAGGAGGAACACCGGUGGCGAAGGCGGAUCUCUGGGCCAUUACUGACGCUGAGGAGCGAAAGCGUGGGGAGCGAACAGGAUUAGAUACCCUGGUAGUCCACGCCGUAAACGGUGGGAACUAGGUGUUGGCGACAUUCCACGUCGUCGGUGCCGCAGCUAACGCAUUAAGUUCCCCGCCUGGGGAGUACGGCCGCAAGGCUAAAACUCAAAGGAAUUGACGG
rnacentral:rRNA from 1 species